rnacentral:rRNA from 1 species
GAUGAACGCUGGCGGCGUGCCUAAUACAUGCAAGUCGAGCGAAGCGGGGACGGGUGAGUAACACGUGGAUAACCUCCUAUAAGACUGGGAUAACUUCGGGAAACCGGAGCUAAACCUGAUACUUAUAGAUGGUACCGUGCUGCAUUAGCUAGUUGGUAAGGUAACGGCUUACCAAUGCCACGGUGCGUAGCAGACCUGUGAGUGGUAUCGGCCACACGAGAACGGAGACACGGCCCAGACUCCUCGGGGAGGUAGAAGUAGGGCAUGUUCGGCAAUGGACGAAAGUCUGACCGGGAAACGCCUCGUAAGGGAAAAGGGUUUGCGGAUCGUAAACCUCAGUUGUUAGAAAAGCGGUAUCUAACCAGAAAGCCACGGCUAACUACGUGCCAGCCGCCGCGGUAAUAC